AUAAUUUCAAUCUCCCACCAGUCCUAUCAGCUUUACUGGGGUGUAACAAACACACGAUAAACUGCGCAUAUUCCAGUGUUCAUGUGGAUGAGUUUGGACAUAUGCACACACUUCCGAAACCACCAGCACAAUCAAGACAGCAGACAUAUCCAUCGCCCCCAAGGGUGUCCUUGUGUCUUUUUGUCAUUCAUCCCUCCCGGCCGCCCCAUCCACACUCCCAUCGCCUGCCGACUGUGGCUGAUCUGCUUUCUGCGGCUGUGGAUUAGUUUGCGUUCUCUACAAUUUUCUGUAAGUGGAAUCAUGUGGUGGAUUCUUUACCUGGGCUCUUUUCCUCAACAUUAUGAUUUUGAGAGUUACCCACGUUCCUGUGACCAUUCUCUUUUUUUAUGUAUCUGCCCUGUCCCCCUCAGACUGUGAGUUCCAUGGGGCGAGGACUUUUGUCAUAUUUACCUCUGUGUCCCCAGCACUCAGCACAGGGCUGGGCACACAGGAAGUGCCUAAUAAGUGUUGACUGACGGGAAGGAGGAUGAGGACAUGACCAAAUGGGGGAACAGCGGGCACAUUUGCAUGGCAGUGAGGAGCCCAAAGCCGGAUUAAGAAAAAACAGCCCCUGGAAUCAUCUGGAGGCCUCGUGGCCCCAUCAGAUAAGCACAUCCGCUCAUCCCCAUGGCUGUCUCUGUGGAGCAAAGAUCUGGAUUGCACAGGGGCUGGGCCUGGGCUGAGGCGGCGCUAGUGGUCCGUUUAUCUUGCGUGGGCAUUCGGCGCUGUGUUCUAGAACUGCACAGCCCACGUACCCCGGCAGGCGGAGGCCUGGGCUCCGGCAGCGGGUGGGCAGGUGGGAGGCAGGAAGAAGUGGCCACCCAGCCCUCCCCAAACCAGUUGGACUCCUUUGCAGAGAUUACUGCAGGCGCUUUGGGAGCUGGCUAAGGGAGAGUGGGAGGCAGGAGGAAAAAGCAGGAGGAGGGGAGGAAUCAUUUAAUGAGCAAAUAUUAUAGGGAAUUUCCAGUUCAUGCCCCAUCAGGCUGGGCAGGAACACACUGGGAUUACUCAGGCGGUUUCCAGGUACCAGCCUCGACCUCGAAGGUUCAGUGUGGCUCAGAUGCCUCUAGGUCUUCAUCGCUGGCUAGAAACCCAACUAGCCAGGGUGAGAAAGUGGCGGUGAGUUACAUCCUGAGACAAAGCCUGCAACCAAAGUCGAGUCUAAGCAUGCGCUUCCUGUAUCAAUCUUUGCUGAGAUGACCUUAUUGCCCAUUUCCCAGACAGAAAAACUGAGGCUGGGAGUUGUGGCAUUGGCUAAGGCCACACAGGGGUCACUGCGGAGUAGGGACAGCUUAAAAGCCAAGGCCAUUUUGGAGUGACUCCUUCAA
rnacentral:lncRNA from 1 species